rnacentral:rRNA from 1 species
CUACGGGGUGCUCCAGUUAGGAAUAAUCUACAAUGCGCGAAAGCGUGAUAGUUUGAGCCAGAGUGUUUUUCAAUUGAAAGACUUUUGUGAAAUGUAAAAAGUUUCACGAAUAAGGACUGGGUAAGACUAGUGCCAGCCGCCGCGGUAAUACUAGCGGUCCAAGUCGCAACCAUUUUUAUUGGGUCUAAAACAUCCGUAGCUUGCUUGACAAGUCUUCUGUGAAAUUUUACGUCUAAAACGUAGAGCGCGCAGAAGGUACUAUCAAGCUAGAGACCGGAAGACGUAAGAAGUACAUUCAGAGUAGCGGUUAAAUGUGUUAAUCCUGGAUGGACUAACAAGAGCGAAGGCAUCUUACGAGGACGGUUCUGACAGUAAGGGAUGAAAGCUAGGGGCGCAAAUGGGAUUAGAUACCCGCGUAGUC